rnacentral:rRNA from 1 species
AAGAACACGGGAUUGCCUCAGUAACGGCGAGUGAAGCGGCAAGAGCUCAGAUUUGAAAUCCGGCAUGCUAUGUGUGCCCGAGUUGUAAUCUGGAGAGAGGUCUUCGGCUUAGGCAUCGGUCAAGAUUCCUUGGAAUAGGAUGACACAGAGGGUGAGAAUCCCGUACCUGGCUGACCGCCAACGCCAUGUGAGGCUUCUUCGACGAGUCGAGUUGUUUGAGAAUGCAGCUCUAAAUGGGUGGUAAAUUCCAUCUAAAGCUAAAUAUCUGCGAGAGACCGAUAGCGCACAAGUAGAGUGAUCGAAAGAUGAAAAGCACUUUGAAAAGAGAGUUAAAAAGUACGUGAAAUUGUUGAAAGGGAAGCGCUUGCCAUCAGAAUUGGGGUCGGCCGAUCAGCAUUCCUUCUGGUUUGUGCACUCGGCCGGCAUUCCAUGCCAGCACCAGUUGCGGCGGCAUGAUAAAGACGGCGGGAAUGUGGCUCCUCUCGGGGAGUGUUAUAGACCGCUGUGCCAUGAUGCCUGCUUCGUGACUGAGGACCGCGCCCUAGGCUUGGGUGCUGGCUUAAUGGUUGUAAGCGACCCGUCUUGAAACACGGACCAAGGAGUCUAACAUCUAUGCGAGUGUUUGGGUGUUCAAAACCCAUGACGCGAAAUGAAAGUGAACGGAAGUGAGAGCCCGCAAGGGUGCAUCAUUGACCGAUCCUGAUGUCUUCGGAUGGAUUUGAGUAGGAGCAUAGCUGUUGGGACCCGAAAGAUGGUGAACUAUGCCUGAAUAGGGUGAAGCCAGA